AUUGAACGCUGGCGGCAUGCCUUACACAUGCAAGUCGAACGGUAACGCGGGGCAACCUGGCGACGAGUGGCGAACGGGUGAGUAAAGCAUCGGGACGUGCCCAGUAGUGGGGGAUAGCCCGGCGAACGCCGGAUUAAUACCGCAUACGACCUAAGGGUGAAAGGGGGGGAUCGCAAGACCUCCCGCUAUUGGAGCGGCAGAUGUCAGAUUAGCUAGUUGGUGGGGUAAAAGCUCACCAAGGCGACGAUCUGUAGCUGGUCUGAGAGGACGACCAGCCACACUGGGACUGAGACACGGCCCAGACUCCUACGGGAGGCAGCAGUGGGGAAUUUUGGACAAUGGACGAAAGUCUGAUCCAGCCAUGCCGCGUGCGGGAAGAAGGCCUUCGGGUAGUAAACCGCUUUUGUCAGGGAAGAAAUCCUUUGAGCUAAUACCUCGGGGGGAUGACGGUACCUGAAGAAUAAGCACCGGCUAACUACGUGCCAGCAGCCGCCGCAG
rnacentral:rRNA from 1 species